GAUGAACGCUGGCGGCGUGCCUAAUACAUGCAAGUCGAGCGAACAGACGAGGAGCUUGCUCCUCUGACGUUAGCGGCGGACGGGUGAGUAACACGUGGAUAACCUACCUAUAAGACUGGGAUAACUUCGGGAAACCGGAGCUAAUACCGGAUAAUAUAUUGAACCGCAUGGUUCAAUAGUGAAAGACGGUUUUGCUGUCACUUAUAGAUGGAUCCGCGCCGCAUUAGCUAGUUGGUAAGGUAACGGCUUACCAAGGCAACGAUGCGUAGCCGACCUGAGAGGGUGAUCGGCCACACUGGAACUGAGACACGGUCCAGACUCCUACGGGAGGCAGCAGUAGGGAAUCUUCCGCAAUGGGCGAAAGCCUGUCGGAGCAACGCCGCGUGAGUGAUGAAGGUCUUCGGAUCGUAAAACUCUGUUAUUAGGGAAGAACAAAUGUGUAAGUAACUAUGCACGUCUUGACGGUACCUAAUCAGAAAGCCACGGCUGACUACGUG
rnacentral:rRNA from 1 species